GAUGAAGAACGUAGCGAAAUGCGAUAAGUAAUGUGAAUUGCAGAAUUCAGUGAAUCAUCGAAUCUUUGAACGCACAUUGCGCCCGUCAGUAUUCUGGCGGGCAUGCCUGUUCGAGCGUCAUUUCAACCCUCAAGCCCUCGGGUUUGGUGUUGGGGAUCGGCGAGCCUUUCUGGCAAGCCGGCCCCGAAAUCUAGUGGCGGUCUCGCUGCAGCCUCCAUUGCGUAGUAGUAAAACCCUCGCAACUGGAACGCGGCGCGGCCAAGCCGUUAAACCCCCAACUUCUGAAUGUUGACCUCGGAUCAGGUAGGAAUACCCGCUGAACUUAAGCAUAUCAAUAAGCGGAGGA
rnacentral:misc_RNA from 1 species